rnacentral:rRNA from 1 species
AGCAGCCGCGGUAAUUCCAGCUCCAAUAGCGUAUAUUAAAGUUGUUGCAGUUAAAAAGCUCGUAGUUGAAUUUUGGAUUCUUCCAAUUGGUCCAUCUUUUAGAUGAGUACUGGUUGUGUGGGGUCUAUCCGCCUGGUGAUACGUAAUGUCCUUUAUUGGAUGUUGCGGGUAGUCAGGGCCUUUACCUUGAAAAAUUAGAGUGUUUAAAGCAGGCUUAUGCCGGAAUACAUUAGCAUGGAAUAAUAGAAUAGGACGAAGUUGUUUUAUUUUGUUGGUUUCUAGGACAACCGUAAUGAUUAAUAGGGAUAGUUGGGGGCAUUAGUAUUCAAUUGUCAGAGGUGAAAUUCUUGGAUUUAUUGAAGACUAACUACUGCGAAAGCAUUUGCCAAGGAUGUUUUCAUUAAUCAAGAACGAAAGUUAGGGGAUCGAAGACGAUCAGAUACCGUCGUAGUCUUAACCAUAAACUAUGCCGACUAGGGAUCGGGCGAUGUUGUUUCCAUGACUCG